rfam:Hordeum vulgare subsp. vulgare, WGS project CAJW01000000 data, contig: morex_contig_159984
AAUCUACUCCCUUCGUCCGGAAUUACUUGUCACAGAAAUGAAUAAUGAUGGAUGUAUGUAGAAGUAAAAUACAUCUAGAUACAUCCAUUCCUCCGACAAGUAUUUCUGGACGGAGGGAGUAGUUC